GGUCCGUUCUUCGGCAACUAGGUAGUCCCUUGAUCAAGCAUGCAUAUAGAGAGCAGAACAUGGUUGCGGAUAAAUUAUUAAAGCACUUUUUGGACUCAUCAACAACUGACAACAAACACAUACUCAGAGGCGCACUCUUUUAUUUUGGAUCUGCUUUAUGCUGAUACUAAUGGACCAGGUCUCUCUAGACGUAUAUCUCCAUCCACAAUUGGAG
rnacentral:lncRNA from 1 species